rnacentral:rRNA from 1 species
UUCCCCUUCCGUAGGUGAACCUGCGGAAGGAUCAUUA